rnacentral:rRNA from 1 species
UGGGGAGCGAAAUUUAGUAGCGAAGUAGCUGAUUUCACACUGUCAAGAAAAGUCUCUAUCGAGGUUAAAGGUACCCGUACCGCAAACCGACACAGGUGGGUGAGGCGAGUAUCCUAAGGCCCGCGAGAGAACUGUUGUUAAGGAACUCGUCACAAUGACACCGUAACUUAGGGAUACGGGGUGCCACCAUCCGGUGUCCGCAGAGAAUAGGCCCAAGCGACUGUUUACCAAAUACAUAG